rnacentral:rRNA from 1 species
UACGAAGGGGGCUAGCGUUGCUCGGAAUCACUGGGCGUAAAGCGCACGUAGGCGGAUUUCUAAGUCAGGGGUGAAAUCCUGGAGCUCAACUCCAGAACUGCCUUUGAUACUGGGGAUCUCGAGUCCGGAAGAGGUGAGUGGAACUGCGAGUGUAGAGGUGAAAUUCGUAGAUAUUCGCAAGAACACCAGUGGCGAAGGCGGCUCACUGGCCCGGUACUGACGCUGAGGUGCGAAAGCGUGGG